AUGACAGUGCCCCUGGCCCAGACGGUUUCAAAGCUUCUUUCUACCAAAUCUAUUGGGAUAUUAUCAAGCUUGAGGUUUCUUUCUACCAAACCUAUUGGGAUAUUAUCAAGCUUGAGGUUUCGGAGGCGGUCAUUCAAUUUUUCUCUAUUGGGUGGUACCUCAUGGCUUCAAUUUGAAUGUGCCAGUGCUUAUUCCAAAGACCGACAAUGCGGAUUCCUUGGAUCUCUACCAACCCAUAGCUCUUUCUAA